rnacentral:rRNA from 1 species
CCUACGGGAGGCAGCAGUGGGGAAUAUUGCACAAUGGGGGAAACCCUGAUGCAGCGACGCCGCGUGAGUGAAGAAGUAUUUCGGUAUGUAAAGCUCUGUCAGCAGGGAAGAAAAUGACGGUACCUGACCAAGAAGCCCCGGCUAACUACGGGCCAGCAGCCGCGGUAAUACGUAGGGGGCAAGCGUGAUCCGGAGUUACUGGGUGUAAAGGGAGCGUAGACGGCAGGGCAAGUCUGGAGGGAAAGGCGGGGGCUCAACCCCCGGACUGCCCUUGAAACUGCCAGGCUGGAGUGGAGGAGAGGUAAGUGGAAUUCCUGGUGUAGCGGUGAAAUGCGUAGAUAUUAGGAGGAACACCAGUGGCGAAGGCGGCUUACUGGACUGUAACUGACGCUGAGGCACGAAAGCGUGGGGAGCAAACAGGAUUAGAUACCCUGGUAGUC